UUCACCACACAGGACGGGGUUUUCCUCAUCUCCCGAAUCCUGUCUGGGGUGGAGAAAGGAGGGAGCCAUAGCUGCCUUAUUCCGCAUUUUUGUUCAGUGACAAGGUCCUCUGGGGAUUUCUUCAUGCAAAGUUGAUGCUUCCAAGUGAUAUUGAUGACAGACUGGUAAG